rnacentral:tRNA from 1 species
GUGGUUCUAGUCCAACGGUUAGGAUAAUUGCUUUUAAAUCAAUAAACCCGGGUUCGACUCCUUGCAAACACA